AUCGCGCUGUGUUAGCAGUUCGAGGCACAGAAUAGAGAUAUUCUGUGUGGGAACAUUGGUGCUAGGGCAGGUUUGGGCUGAGAACGCUGUGAUCCUGUUCCAAGAUGAAGGCCGUGUUGCUGUUUUGUGUCCUUCUUGGACUCGUCAUUUCAACCAACGGUGCAACUGUCGAGGAAAACAACGACAAGGUGGCGGAGAAGAGUGUUCCGGAAGAGGUUGAUGUAGAGGAAGAUUCUGCAAGUGAAGAAGAGGAAGACCCAGAAGCUGAAGAGCCCUCUGAAGACGAGGAAAGUGAUGCUACAGAACCGGAAGAGGACACUGAAUUAUCUGAAGACAAUUCUGAGCAAAUAGCAAAAGACGGCUCUGUAUCAGAUCCUUCAUGGCGCAGACGUUCCUGGCGCAGACGUUCUUGGCGCAGACGUUCCUGGCGCAGACGAUCCUGGCGCAGACGUUCUUGGCGCAGACGGUCCUGGCGCAGACGGUCCUGGCGCAGACGGUCCUGGCGCAGACGUAGCGGAAAAUAAGCAAGGAACUGGUUGAGAAACUUUUUUGCUCCCUAAUUAUGUUUUGCAUUUUUAAUUUUUGCAUAUUUGAAGCUGUUGACCAAGGUCAAUAGAGAAAGAUAUUGUGUUGUUUGUUUUGUUCUCCUACUUUCUGAAAGGGUCUGCCAUCUAUUUAACUCUGGACAUAUGAGAAAGAGUUUGCGGAAAGUUGCGAUAAAUGUCGUUAGUUAAUCAUAAAUCUAUAAACCAGAAAAGAAUAACAGUAUCCGUUAGCAAAGUUGAAAUCUUUCAUUGACCGUAUAUCACCCGAUUUUGAACACAUCUAGCUGAUUUUGUAUAGUUAAAAGUAUUUUAUGUCGUUUUUCUGAUUUUGUGGUCAAAACUAGAAAAUUCUAAAAAUAGAUUUUUGAUGACGCCACACCAGUAUUCUAUUGUGAGUGAUAUUUUCGACUUUUCAGGUAUCUAAAAAUUUCGAAUCGGAUACAAUUUGUAUAAAAAUCAAAGGUGAAAAUGCCAUUUAUACAAGGAACUCAGUAAAUUCACUGCGUUUGUAAAAGCGGUUCAAAGCGGCUCGAUUGCCUUCGCUUCUCGGAGCCAGGCCCUGCCCCAUCUAGCCACCAUUGUGAAAAGAGAGUUUUGCUUACACUGCUUUACUUGUUGGUUUUGGCUCAAUGUAUAUAUUAUAAUCUAAAGGUUUAUCUAUAUGAAAAAUUAGGUCUGAUUUAGAUAUUUUAUAAAACGAAAAAUAAGGGGAGAUGGCCCUCUGGAUUCCUCUUUGGCGCAGGCCUUUAGAGAAACCCUUCCGCGUUCGAGCAUGUUUGAAAAAAUGACGCAGUAUGCAUUCCAUCAGACUCCAAAUGGAAGAAGGAAUGCCAAAGACCAAGAAAAUUUGGUACUCACUACGCCCUACAAACAGAGUUGCAGAACAAGGGUCGAAAAUCAGACAAUUUUCUACUGCUUCUGGAGACAUUUUUGCAAUCCCUUCCUUCACCCCCCCCCCCCCCCCCCCCCUUGGAUUUUUAAUUGCAAGAGACCCCGGACACAAGACUACUGAAAACGUGAGAUAGUCUGCUUUAUAAAAUUUUCCGUUCAUUGCAAAGGACGGCUAUCAGUAUAUCCCUUGCCUUAAGUCGGCAACAGCAAAAUAACGCGAUUUGAUCUGCCAUUGUUUUAUGGUGCAAGGUUUGAGAUGGGUUUCGAAAUGUGGUGGAUUAGGGGAGGGGGGUUGAUUUCCGCCUUUAUAUAGAACAUAGAGGUUUUUCAUGUAUGCAUAAGUCGAUAUAUAAAGGUAAAAUUGACAAAGCAAGUCAAAUCAAGUCAAGUCAAGUCAAGUCGAGUCGAGUCAAAGAGUGAUCCAUUCGACAAAAUGAAUGGUGAAUUGUGACGUAAUGUUAGCAAAGGAAGGUAAGGAUGUACACCUUUGUAAAUUUCUCCCCACCCUACAAACUCUUAGUUGUGUUCUCCAAAAGUCUGUUCUUCAAAAAAAAGCUACCAUGAAAGUCUCAAAGGAAAAAAUCCCAGGGGGCUCGAGCACCCAAGUUCGUGUGUAGUUGGUCUAGCUCUUAUGCUUUCAAGGAAAACAAAGAUAAGUUCGAAAAAUAUUUACCUUUGUUUUGCUAAACUUGUACUUUGGGGCAGCUAAACGAGCUCAAAACAUGCAUACAACUCAACUAACAGUCAAGGGGCAAAUUAGGGGAGUGUAGGGGUAACAAAUAAUGGAAAGAGUCGGUCCUAGCCAAUAAGUGGAGGAUUCCAGUUACUCAUAAGGCUAGAAAGUGCGUUUCUAACAUAUCUUUGAAUGCAUCAUGUCAUUUGAUACAAAAUGAAGUAAAUAUUCCAUCGAACUUUAAAGAAAUAUUAUUAAAGGCCAAACAAAACGCAACUGUUAAGAAAAUUAGGCCCGACCCAACUUUCUUGUCAAGAUCAAUGUAUGCCUCUUGAAAAAGAAGCCUGAAGUAUCUACGCGUUAGAAACAUGAAGUCAAUGUUUUGAGUUCAAAGUCAUCUGUUUAAUUUAUCCUCUAUGAAAAAACCUAAUAAGAGCUGGUUUCAUUAUGUUUUAGCUUUGAAUGCACUUUUUAGCGUUUUUUCUUGUUAUCUUGUGCACUUAAAACUGUACGUUCGUGGAAGUGACUUGAGAUACAACAUAUGGACUAAUCUAGGAUGAAGCAAUCAAACAACCGAAUUGUCUGUUAAUUAGGUCUCUGAAGGCCAGCAGAGCCAAAGAGACUCAUCGAAAAUCACAAUUUUCCCUGGAAGGGGAGCAUGAGUCCGGACACCCUAAACAUAGACUGUCCCCCGAUACCCUAAACACAGUCUGUGUGCACUAUAAGUGCUGUGUUCUCCACUCUAAAGAAUUUAACUGUUAGUUUCCUGACAAUCCUCUAAACAAUUGAUUAAUUUUUUCGCCCCUGGGAACAGUACAAAUGUUUUGUCUGGAUAAUACAGUACUGAAAGGGCACAAAGACGUGCCCUUGAAGUGAGACUGUUCUAGGGGGUAUGGGGGCGUGCGCCCCAAUAAAGUUUUGAAUUUUAUGGUGUCUUCUUUGUCUCUGCUGACCUCCUAGAGACCUAAUAAUAAAAAAAGUCGGUCGUAUCAAACUUGUUUGAGUUUUCGGUGCCCUAUACAAGCUUUGGCGCCCCUAAAAAAAGUCAGCUGGGGGCCUUCAGAGACCCCCGGCCCCCCCUGCCAGGCCGCCACUGGUAGGUGAGACAAGAGAUCACCUGAAGACAGUGAAAAUAUCAAUGUUUUGGACUAAAAUAUCUUUUAUUAUUUUGAUUUAUACUUCUGUAGAAAGAUUUAGAAAGUAAAAUUGCAAAUGUAAUGAACUUUAAAAUUGAGAAAACGCUACGAAACGAGCUAAUUUUAUGGCAACUUGAAUAUGGUACUUCUAAGUCCCAUCCCCUCGAAUUUCUCGAAUUAAACCUAAUCUAAUUCUAAUGAGUGUCUAGAUUAGUAUGCCUCAGGGGGCCUAAUUCAAGGAUUUACAGGAUUUUGGGUCAGAACAUUAUGAUAAAAAUGAUUUCGAACAAAGUAAUCCAUGUGCUCGGAGAAGCCCAGUGGUGAAGCCCAGUAUGCUUGGGCACAAAGUUAGUUAUCCAUAAUCUCUAUCUACGAAGUUCCUUAUUUUUAAUUUGUUGUUUGUUCUCAGAGUGUUGUGGUGUUCCUUAUCUCAUUCAAAGAGAUCCCUCCCUGCGGUAAAUAGUUUGCCAACAUCUCUGCUAGGCAACAUCUCAAGGGCGUGGAACACAACAGUGAUUGGUUGUGACAGCAGAAAGGGCAGUCUAUUGGUCAAAAAGUAUCUAUGCCAACCGGAAGUCGAGAUUUGAGGGUAUAAAUGAACAGAAUCGCGCUGUGUUAGCAGUUCGAGGCACAGAAUAGAGAUAUUCUGUGUGGGGAGAGUGGAGCUAGAGAAGGUUUGGGCUGAGAACGCUGUGAUCCUGUUCCAAGAUGAAGGCCGUGUUGCUGUUUUGUGUCCUUCUUGGACUCGUCAUUUCAACCAACGGUGCAACUGUCGAGGAAAACACCAACGAGGUGGCGGAGAAGAGUGUUCCGGAAGAGGUUGAUGUAGGGGAAGAUUCUGCAAGCGAAGAAGAGGAAGACCCAGAAGCUGAAGAGCCCUCUGAAGACGAGGAAAGUGAUGCUACAGAACCGGAAGAGGACAAUGAUUCUACAGAACCGGAAGAGGACACUGAAUUAUCUGAAGACAAUUCUGAGCAAAUAGCAAAAGACGGCUCUGUAUCAGAUCCUUCAUGGCGCAGACGUUCCUGGCGCAGACGUUCUUGGCGCAGACGUUCCUGGCGCAGACGAUCCUGGCGCAGACGUUCUUGGCGCAGACGGUCCUGGCGCAGACGGUCCUGGCGCAGACGGUCCUGGCGCAGACGGUCCUGGCGCAGACGUAGCGGAAAAUAAGCAAAGAACUGGUUGAGAAACUUUUUUGCUCCCUAAUUAUGUUUUGCAUUUUUAAUUUUUGCAUAUUUGAAGCUGUUGACCAAGGUCAAUAGAGAAAGA